UGCAAGCAAAGCAAUGAGUAGUGAUUUUUUUCCCCAGUUCUUAAUGCUCUAGGCAAGGGACUCAAUCCUAAGGGCUGUGCUAUUGAGAACAGGGAAGAAUACUGAGCAAUGGGGAGUGAUUUCAGUGCAUGCUGUUGUUGGCGUUGGUGGAGAAGAAAUAAAUCAGAAGGAAAAAAUAAAGGGGCAACUGGGAAUAAUAAAAGAUAAGUAAGACUAUCAGUGAAAAAUAAUAUUUUUAUAAAAUGAUAAAUGAGGAGAAAAGAUUUGUUCUCUUGAGACACAAAAACUUUUAAAAGAAGUCGUCUGAUCUUUAGAGGGCUGGAAGUGUUAAUAAUGUACUUGGGGAUAUUUAAGUUAUUGUUACUGGUUUGCUGAUAUUGCUGUUUUUAGCUUCCAAAUGGCUUUUGGGUAAGUAACAAUCUUCCAUUUAAAAUCCGUCUGCCCUGCUGACACUCUCUGAUCACAUUGCUUACUCAGAGCAGGUGUUUCAUGAAACCAGCUUUCAGUGCCAAUAAUGAAGCACCUUAGAGGGUCCAUAUCUCAGCACAGAUGUAUGUAGUUUUGAAGUCUGAAAUCUCUGGUGUGCUCAAAUUUGGAAAUUUAAAGCAAAGAGCAAAUAGUUUUCUUGUGUAAUGUUAAUGUCUUUCUCUUCUUCUUUAGAAAAUAUGUGGGCUUCAUGUGUUAGAAAUGGAUGCUAUUUUCCCUGCAUUAUGGCACGGUAGGAAAGAUCUGUGAGGCAGAGAAGCUUUUAUUCUCAUUAUACUGUAUAUGUGGAAGCACUAAGAAAUAUGAAAUCCUUCACUGGUGCAGACUAAAAGAUUUCCAUUUCGUCUGGAGGGGAAAUGUGCCAAAGUGGCUGAAAAUAAUUCAAGUAAUUGGCAAAGAGCUGUACUCUAAGGAGCCUUUUGGUGUAAUUUGAUUUUGUGCCUUUUAGGGGAGCAAGUGAGAUGUGAUUCUACCUGCCCCUGAGGGCCAAGAGAUUUUAAACAUUGCAGAAUCCUUAAGGUAGAUGAUGAUGAACUACAAUGUCAAAAGACACCUGGAAUUGUGAUAUUCUUAAGAAAUAAUAAUAAUGAUGAUAAUGCUCAACUGAGUUAAAGUCUGUCCCUUACCAUGCGCAGUCUGUAUUUUGCCUUAACACCGAAAAAAGAGUCUCGCUUGAGAGCUACAUGCUCCUCGGCCUACAAAUUUAUAGGAUUAUUGCUAAAUUCCAUAAGUGCUGUUAGUAAUAAUGGAUGGCAAUAACCAACUCAAUCAGGAUCAGCCAUUUGUAAUUUAUAGUUGGGUCCCCAUGGCAUUACAAUACAAUGACCCUGCUUACCGCGAGUCCUAAACUUGCAGGGCAACCGAGCUUGUUGUGGCAUACUCCUUCGUAAGUCACCGCCAGCACCCCUUCUCAUUACGGCUUCUUCGUGUAUCUUGGAUCUUCUUCACGCAGAGACUUAGUGUCUAUUAGUUUUCAUUUAUUCCUCCUCUAUUCCUAAGGAAAAGACAGCUUUUUAUGUGUUGCUUUUACCUUUGGGGAAAUGCCAAUUUCUUUAAAAUAAUUUUAGUGGUAGAAUUUUAAGCAAUUUUACACGAGGAACCCUUAAACAUUUCGCUUUUUCUGAGACCUGAAUGUAAGGCAGCCUCUGACUCUAUUAAUAUGUCUCAUAUGGAGAUAAGUAUAAGAUUUGAGUUCCUACCCACCCAAGACUGUACAACCAACUUGUAACUUCGGCACUGAGUAUGCCUACGUUCUUUUCACUGCUUACCCACAGAACUAAGGAAUAAGAAGAAAAGGAUGAAGGAGAAGUCUCAGGACAAGGCCAUACAUGUAUAGCACAGUGUAUCAAUGUCGGAGCUCUGGAGAUCCUCCCACCGGCAGGCCAUACUAAACUGCAGGAGUCCUCAGGAUAACUGAUCUACUGCCGCCAAGCACCAUGGAAAAAAACCAUAGAAGAUGGGGAAAAUGGAGAGAUGUUGGUUAAAGGGUACAAAAUUUCGGUUAUAAGAUAGACCAUGCUAUAUUUCUCCACCAGGGAAAUCUACACUUGAAAUUGUGCUAUGAAGAAAUGAGGACAUCGGGGAGAAAAUGUAUGAAGCAGAAGAUGUCCCUGAACAUACUCAGAUACUGAAAAUUUCUCAACACCAGUGCCCAGCCAGUUAAAAUAACUGUCUUCUCUACAUAGCUAUGAAGUCUCUUUGUACAGAAAAGGUGACUAUAUCCUCAUGUUCUG